rnacentral:rRNA from 1 species
UACGAAGGGGGCUAGCGUUGCUCGGAAUCACUGGGCGUAAAGCGCACGUAGGCGGCUUCUUAAGUCAGGGGUGAAAUCCUGGAGCUCAACUCCAGAACUGCCUUUGAUACUGUGGAGCUUGAGUCCGGGAGAGGUGAGUGGAACUGCGAGUGUAGAGGUGAAAUUCGUAGAUAUUCGCAAGAACACCAGUGGCGAAGGCGGCUCACUGGCCCGGUACUGACGCUGAGGUGCGAAAGCGUGGGGAGCAAACAGG